rnacentral:rRNA from 1 species
GUGCCUAACACAUGCAAGUCGAACGAGAAAGUGGAGCAAUCCAUGAGUAAAGUGGCGACCGGGUGAGUAACACGUGACUAACCUACCUUCGAGUGGGGGAUAACCUCGGGAAACCGGGGCUAAUACCGCAUAACAUCUUUGAAGUGGAAAUUUCGGAGAUCAAAGGAGCAAUUCGCUGGAAGAGGGGGUCGCGGCUGAUUAGCUAGUUGGCGGGGUAACGGCCCACCAAGGCAAAGAUCGGUAGCCGGCCUGAGAGGGCGCACGGCCACACUGGAACUGAAACACGGUCCAG